rnacentral:rRNA from 1 species
CUGAACCAGCCAAGUAGCGUGAAGGAUGACUGCCCUAUGGGUGGUAAACUUCUUUUAUAAAGGAAUAAAGUCGGGUAUGGAUACCCGUUUGCAUGUACUUUAUAAAUAAGGAUCGGCUAACUCCGUGCCAGCAGCCGCGGUAAUACGGAGGAUCCGAGCGUUAUCCGGAUUUAUUGGGUUUAAAGGGAGCGUAGAUGGAUGUUUAAGUCAGUUGUGAAAGUUUGCGG